UAAACAUGCAGUGGUUGGGCCAACCACGGAAAAUCGUCAAAGGAAAAUCGUUGUUGGGCCAUGGUUGGCCCAACACUAGUUAACAUGUACUAUAAAUGCAGUUGUUGGCCCAACUUCGAACCAACCAUAAGUUAACGCCAGCGACAUUUCUGCAUUGGCCCAAUAACGAUAAAUAUGUACUUUAAAACAGAUGUUGGGCCAACGUUUGACCAACGAUACAUUUCCGUCAAAUAUAUUACUGCACCUGACCCAAAUUUUUUUUUUUAAACACAUAUAGAUACAUGUAGAUAUUUUACUGUAUAUAAACAGUACACUACAAUGAGUAAAGACUAAAAUUUAUAAAGUUUUUUUUUGAAGCCAUGUUUCAAUAUUGUCACAUUCAAGAAAUACUCAUAUAAAUUAAAUCAGAAAUGUACGUAAGAAAUAAUUACUUUGUGAGUCUAGAAAUGACCAAAGCCCAGGCUAUAUGCAGUAGUAGGGGAUGUAUCUAUAUAGAUCUAUAAAAAUCUUGAAGAUCUGAUGUAUAAUCUAAGGCAAUUAUACAUGUGCUGAAACAGAUUAACCAUCCUAAAUGUUUACAAUAAACCUCCGGAAUCUUCCACUCUAAACUCUUAUUAACCUCUGUUUAUGUAAUCAAUGAAUGGAAAUAGGAUCAUUUUGGCACUACCCAUCCGUUCCCUCUGCGUGGACGUGUUUACAGAUAUAUUUAAAUAAAUUUGAAUUAGACUGCAAUUUCUCAACACUGAAAAAUACAGCAAAUUUAUGUCUAAUUGGAGGAGAUAGUGUGGAGAGCAAUGUUCGCCGUGUUAUGUCUCACACUUUGUCUCAGGAAGUUGCCCUAGAAUACAACUGGGUUGGAAAAGGCUCGAAAAACCAUUCGAAAAACUUAGACUUAAAACAGUCAUAUUAGAUGCUGUAAGAGGAAGUAGACAGGGGUCUACUCAUAAAGAAAUCGAGAAGACAAUGAAGGAGUGGCUAAGAUAUGCCAAGGAUAGGGGAGGCGGGCAGAGGAAGAGACUGACUAAAAAGUUGCAACAACAAAGAGAAGAAAAUGAAAAUGAUAUGUGAACAACAUUUAGAAAUAAAUUGUAGUAAUUAGAAUAUUUUAUG